UCAGUAUUUGGGACAAUAUUCGGACUUAUUUAGUUCCGACAGUUUGGUUACGCUGGGAAUUCUCCUUUUAACCUCGUGGUAAAAAGCCCAAUUUAUAGUAAUUUUGGAAAAACAUCGCUACCAACACCACCAUGUAUUUGAAUUUCUUUUUAUGAGUAUAUUCUCUGUUUUCAGAUAUAUAUGUCUAUCCUUAAUUUAGUAUUCCUAUCUGAUAUCGUGUUGAAAAUACUAUAUUUAACGCUGGGGAUAACACCAAGCCAGCUCCAGAGCUUCAAGCUCUUUCAGUGUACUUUUAUCACAUUCUAUAUUC
rnacentral:sRNA from 1 species